rnacentral:rRNA from 1 species
GCCAGACUCCUACGGGAGGCAGCAGUGGGGAAUAUUGCACAAUGGGGGAAACCCUGAUGCAGCGACGCCGCGUGAGUGAAGAAGUAUUUCGGUAUGUAAAGCUCUAUCAGCAGGGAAGAAAAUGACGGUACCUGAUUAAGAAGCCCCGGCUAACUACGUGCCAGCAGCCGCGGUAAUACGUAGGGGGCAAGCGUUAUCCGGAUUUACUGGGUGUAAAGGGAGCGUAGACGGUGAUGCAAGUCAGAAGUGAAAGCCCGGGGCUCAACGCCGGGACUGCUUUUGAAACUGUGUGACUGGAGUACAGGAGAGGUAAGCGGAAUUCCUGGUGUAGCGGUGAAAUGCGUAGAUAUCAGGAGGAACACCAGUGGCGAAGGCGGCUUACUGGACUGUAACUGACGUUGAGGCUCGAAAGCGUGGGGAGCAAACAGGAUUAGAUACCCUUGUA